GCCUUAGCGUCGAUCGAGGGAGGAUGGCUCGCGUUACAAUUAUGCGAGCCCGCACUCCCGGGGCGUCUCGUGCUCAUUGCGAGCAGAGGCGCACCCAGAGCGUACACGUUGGGACCCGAAAGAUGGUGAACUAUGCCUGGCCAGGACGAAGUCAGGGGAAACCCUGAUGGAGGUCCGUAGCGAUUCUGACGUGCAAAUCGAUCGUCAGAACUGGUUAUAGGGGCGAAAGACUAAUCGAACCAUCUAGUUGCUGGUUCCCUCCGAAGUUUCCCUCAGGAUACCUGGCACUCGCUUGAGCCAAUUUUGGUAAGCAGAACUGGCGCUGUGGGAUAACCAAACGCCGAGUUAAGGCGCCUAAGUCGACGCUUAUGGGAUACCAUGAAAGGCGUUGGUUUCUUAAGACAGCAGGACGGUGGCCAUGGAAGUCAGAAUCCGCUAAGGAGUGUGUAACAACUCACCUGCCGAAGCAACUAGCCAUGAAAAUGGAUGGCGCUGAAGCGUCGCGCCUAUACUCGGACUUCAGCGGCAAGUGGGGCGGCGAGCAGCGAUGCUCGUCGUCAUGAAGCUCUGACGAGUAGGAGGGUCGCGGCGGUGUGCGCAGAAGGGUCUGGGCGCGAGCCUGCCUGGAGCCACUGUCGGUGCAGAUCUUGGUGAUAGUAGCAAAUACUCCAACGAGGCCCUGGAGGACUUACGUGGAGAAGGGUUUUGUGUGAACAGCCGUUGCACACGAGUCAGUCGAUCCUAAGCCCUAGGAGAAAUCCUAUGUCGAUGACGGUGUAUGUUUCUAAAGUAUAUUAUUUUACAAUAUGUGCACACCCGUCGGGCGAAAGGGAAUCCGGUUCCUAUUCCGGAACCCGGCAGCGGAACCGCAUACAAUUCGGGCCCUCGUAAGAGUGUUCGUCGGGGUAGCCCAAAGUGACCUGGAGACGCCGUCGGGAGAUCCGGGAAGAGUUUUCUUUUCUGUAUAAGCGUUCGAGUUCCCUGGAAACCUCUAGCAGGGAGAUAGGGUUUGGAACGCGAAGAGCACCGCAGUUGCGGCGGUGUCCGGAUCUUCUCCUCGGACUUUGAAAAUCCAGGAGAGGGCCACGUGGAGGAGUCGCUCCGGUUCGUACCCACAUCCGCAGCAGGUCUCCAAGGUAAAGAUCCUCUAGUCGAUAGAGUAAUGUAGGUAAGGGAAGUCAGCAAAUUGGAUCCAUAACUUCGGAAUAAGGAUUGGCUCUGAGAAGCGGGGCUUGUCGGGGGUGGUCGGGAAGUGGGUCUGGCUGACGUGCCGGGCCUGGGCGAGGUCAAUGACCCUCUUUACGGGGUGGUCAGGAUCCGAACUCAGUACCGUGCCUUGGCCUCCCACGGAUCUUGUUUGCUGCGAGGCUUUCGAGGCGGUCCAGCCGUCUUGAUCGUUCUUUUCGGCCGCCAUUCAACGGUCAGCUCAGAACUGGCACGGACUAGGGGAAUCCGACUGUCUAAUUAAAACAAAGCAUUGCGAUGGCCCUCGAGGGUGAUGACUCAAUGUCAUUUCAGCCCAGUGCUCUGAAUGUCAAUGUGAAGAAAUUCAAGCAAGCGCGGGUAAACGGCGGGAGUAACUAUGACUCUCUUAAGGAAGGCAAGAUGGCGGCCGAGUGUGGAGCACGUGCAUCGUGCAGCUCGACCAUAGAAGAGAAAAAUUGGUGGAAAACACGUGGCGUGGCGUCAGUGACGGUGGCGCCACCUGGAGGGAGUCGAGGGAAGCGUGCGUGGUGCUAACUUCAGGCGGUGUUCGGCGCCACCUGCAGGGGGUCGAGGAAGCUCUGUGCGUUACCGACGCUCGGGCGGUAAUCGAGUGAAUAGAACCUAACCUAGAAGGUGUGUUCCAGGUCGUAGAAGGAGUGAGUAAAGUAAAAAUGCCGCCCAAAAAGAAGCAAUCGAUUUCGAGUAGUUCAUUGUAUGAGUAUGUAAGCAGGUAGCGAGUACAAUUGGAAAGACGUACGCCUCUGCCAUGAGUGGAGAAUGGAACACCGUAACUGGAAGAAAGAGGAU
rnacentral:rRNA from 1 species